CGUCUCCAAACUCUCGCGCAUGGGAGACAUUACUUCCGGGCAAAGCACAGGCAGCUGGCGUGACUGGACCAACAUGUAAAGUAGGUUUAGUUCUGUAGUGCUACACAUUCACCAACUCUGUUUGAAAAAAAUCCCAUGUUGGUAUAUUAUGGAAAUUUUAAACAAAGUAGAAUAGGCGUGACAUGCAGCAUUUUUUUUCCUUCUCACCUAACGAUAAACAUUUGCGUUUUGAUCCAGAAAUGUCUAUAGCCCAGUCAGCUGCCCGUGAUUUGCAUCACGUUCAUGCGCUCGAGUUUGGAGACGACCAGAAGGCGCCAAAACGUAUCUUUAGUUUGCAGGUGGACAAUGAAAUUAAACUGGACGUGGAUGCAGGUCAUGAAUUCAUAUCAGGAAGAUAUUGGGUAAGCUCAGGGGUGAAAGUAAGGCGUUACGGUUCGGUACGGCGUCUCUGCAAAAUAAAUAGUGGGGGUACGCUAUACCGUGUCAAGAAUGGUCCACCAUCCAAAGGACAUCGAGCCAACUUAACAACUGUGGGAAGCAUUGGAGUCAACAUGGGCCAGCAUCCCUGUGGAACGCUUUCAACACCUUGUAGAGUCCAUGUCCCGACGAAUUGAGGCUGUUCUGAGGGCAAAUGGGGUGCAACUGGGGAUCUGCAGCUCAGUGAUCCAUCACCCUCUCUAGCAUCUCACCCACCCUUUGCUGUCAAGCUGUAUUUGUGUGUUAGAACAGUACAGCGAGCGGACCAGUGUCGCUGGUUUAAAUCCCAAGUCUGAUGGGAAACUAAUCGAGUGGGAAUCUAGACUGACAAGAUACUGAGAUGUUGAAAGAGGACGUGGGUCCAUGCAUCCCAACUGUACAGUGUGCUCGUGAGUAAAGAGCUCUCAUGCGUAUAAUUCGAAGACGCACUGGAAGUGAGAGCACACGGAUGGCUGGAGAUGCGACAGGUGAGAGACGACUUGCAACGGAUCGACAUGAAAGAGGCAGACUGUGGCGGCCCCCCUGCUCUGUUUGGACAAGUUUGCAGAGCCCAGGGCCCUUUCCGGGGAACACGUCUCAGCCAAAGAGACAAAUUGUCACAACAGCUGGACAUAGAUUAUCUCGUAUGUCCAGCUGGAGGUCGGCUCCAUCCUCAAAGCCACUCUAACCCCGCCCUACUCUGUACUCUACUGCAUCUCCUGACACACCUGCUAGUGCCCCUGGCCUGACCCAUCCAUUAACCGUUUCAAAGGCCUGACUGAUGGCUGCCCUGACCACUGGCCUGCAGGGCUCUGAGGAGCCACCGUGCGUGAGUGUGUGUGUCUGUGUGUGCGCGUGCGGCUGCAGAAGAGACGUUUGGGGAAAGUUCAGGUGAGAUGAUGAUGAUAUGAAAAUAAACUUGAUUUGAAUACUCAGUCAAAUGUGCUGCAGAGCCCUCUCUCUCUAGCGGUAUGAGAGAGGGAGAUGGAGAAGGUGACCUGUUAAUUAAGUCAACCUUAGUCUCAACGCAAUGUUCUGCAUUUGUUAACAGCUGAUUCUGUGUAGUGUAAUAAAGUUCUCUACACCACUAUCUAUUUUGAAUGAUAGUGAGUUCCAUAGAAUUUCGUUGUGUUUUAGUUUCUGUGAAAAUUGAAUUAGAUUGGAAUUCUAUGAUGUAUUUUACUGGGA
rnacentral:lncRNA from 1 species